rnacentral:pre_miRNA from 1 species
CUUAGAAAUUGACAGAAGAGAGUGAGCACACAGAAGCACUUGGUAUAGUUAUAUACUGUUGCUUUUGCGUGCUCACUUCUCUUUCUGUCA